CUCAGUUCGGAUCGGAGUCUGCAACCCGACUCCGUGAAGCUGGAUUCGCUAGUAAUCGCGCAUCAGCCAUGGCGCGGUGAAUACGUUCCCGGGCCUUGUACACACCGCCCGUCAAGCCAUGGGAGCCGGGAGUGCCUGAAGGCCGUGACCGCAAGGAGCGGCCUAAGGUAAAACUGGUGACUGGGGCUAAGUCGUAACAAGGUAAC
rnacentral:rRNA from 1 species